CAGUAGCCGCGGUAAUACGAAUGGGGCUAGCGUUGUUCGGAAUUACUGGGCGUAAAGCGCACGUAGGCGGACAUUUAAGUCAGGGGUGAAAUCCCGGGGCUCAACCCCGGAACUGCCUUUGAUACUGGGUGUCUAGAGUAUGGAAGAGGUGAGUGGAAUUCCGAGUGUAGAGGUGAAAUUCGUAGAUAUUCGGAGGAACACCAGUGGCGAAGGCGGCUCACUGGUCCAUUACUGACGCUGAGGUGCGAAAGCGUGGGGAGCAAACAGGAUUAGAUACCCCUGUAGUCCCUGUCUCUUAUAC
rnacentral:rRNA from 1 species